CAUCUCGCUAACCCUCCCUCGCCAGAUCCCCCUCGCCCCCCGCGCCCGCUCCACCGCUGCCGACGACCCCCGCACCCUACGACCCCCGCGCCCGGUCCACCACCGUCGUCCGCCCGCGCCUGCUCCCCUCGCCCUCCCCGGCCCAGCAGCGAGCAGAGCCCAGAAAGCCUCGCCGCCGUUGCCCCCUGCCCUCCCCACGAACCGUAGCUGCCCCUGCCCUCGAGCGCGAGCCGCAGCCAAUCCAGCCACCGGUGGGGCGGUGCGCAUCCUCAGCACCAUCGACCGCGAGCUGCUCAAGCCCUCUGCCUCUGUCGCGCUGCACCAUCGACCGUGAGCUGCUCAAGCCCUCUCCGAGACAUCGACGCCAGCUAGCCCACUCCCCUCCCUCAGCCGUCGCCAUCGGCCGCCCUCAGGCCCUCUCCGAGACGCCAACGCCAGCUAGCCCGCUCCCAUCAUGGCGCCGUCCGUCCGGACGGUCCCCUCCCCUUGCCGGCUCGCCUCCAACCCGCAGGGCGCCCGCAGUCCACACCAUCACUGCCGACCUGCCCUAGCAAGUUAGCAAGGUGCAGGUAUCUCAAGCACUGCCUCCGUACCACAGACAGCAGCAGCUCGUGUUGUUUCAAAGCUGUUAUAGAUAUCAUUGACAAGAGGUAAACUCAAGACGCCACUACAUUUGGCUGGGUACUGACAGUUGUACUCCAUUGAAGUACUGUUACUGUUAAAUGUUCAAACUGAAUUUGGUGUAGCAGCA